AAAAAAGACAUCUAUGAAAAACCUACAAACAUCACACUUAAUGGAAGCUACUGGAGGAUGUACUUCAGCAACAUGAGGGAGAAAGAGCAAGACAUGGAUUUCAAAAAGCAGGAACUUCAACACAUGAGGACAAUGAAGGGAAAUCCAGAUUGACAGCUAUGUAGCAGCCGGGAAAGCAACUAGUCCAACUGGAAGCAAGAGGAAGAACAAUGGCUUCAGAAGGAAUGUCUCAGGCAGGGUAUUUUGAUGGUAUUUUCAGGAAGCUAGCAUUCAGCAGUCUUGGAGUUUCCCCCAGUGUAUGACCAAGACCUGCUCCCUGCAGUGGCUUAAGGCUCUCCACAAAGAACAGAGUGUUCCUCAAAGGCCACUUGAAACUCUUCCUCAGAUAUCUCCAUGACAAUAGUAGUGAGAUGUGAAACCUGCAGAUACAGAGUGCCAACUAUAUAAGCCCACAGGUCAUUUGUGAUACUUCUCAACCCCCAUAUCCAAUCCACUACCAAGUCCUGUGAAUUCAUCUGCUGGAUAUCUCUCAAAUCUGUCCAUCACUCUCUGUCUCCACCACCAUCAUUCUGGAGUAAGCCAUUAUCAUGCUGGCCUGGACUACUGCAGUAAACUAACUUGUCUCCUGGAAUCCACUGAUUCAUUCUUCAAGCCAUUCUCCAAACUACAGCCAGACAGGACUUUCUUGAUUCAAAUGUGAUAUGAUCUAUA